rnacentral:rRNA from 1 species
UUGACCUCGGAUCAGGUAGGAAUACCCGCUGAACUUAAGCAUAUCAAUAAGCGGAGGAAAAGAAACCAACAGGGAUUGCCCCAGUAACGGCGAGUGAAGCGGCAACAGCUCAAAUUUGAAAUCUGGCCCCCCGGGUCCGAGUUGUAAUUUGCAGAGGAUGCUUCGGGUGCGGCGUCGACCAAGUCCCCUGGAACGGGGCGCCAUAGAGGGUGAGAGCCCCGUCGGGUCGGCCGCCAAGCCUGUGUGAAGCUCCUUCGACGAGUCGAGUAGUUUGGGAAUGCUGCUCUAAACGGGAGGUAGACCCCUUCUAAAGCUAAAUAUUGGCCAGAGACCGAUAGCGCACAAGUAGAGUGAUCGAAAGAUGAAAAGCACUUUGAAAAGAGGGUUAAACAGUACGUGAAAUUGUUGAAAGGGAAGCGCUUGUGACCAGACGUGCGCCGGGUGUUCAGCGGGCGUUCUCGCCCGUGUACUCGCCCCGGCGCAGGCCAGCGUCGGUUCGGAUGGGGGGACAAAGGCCCCGGGAAUGUGGCUCCUCCGGGAGUGUUAUAGCCCGGGGCGUCAUGCCCCCGCCCGGACCGAGGUUCGCGCUCUGCAAGGACGCUGGCGUAAUGGUCCCCAGCGGCCCGUCUUGAAACACGGACCAAGGAGUCGAGGUUUUGCGCGAGUGUUUGGGUGUCAAACCCGCACGCGUAAUGAAAGUGAACGCAGGUGGGAGCUUCGGCGCACCACCGACCGAUCCUGAUGUUCUCGGAUGGAUUUGAGUAGGAGCGUAGGGCCUCGGACCCGAAAGAUGGUGAACUAUACGUGGAUAGGGUGAAGCCAGAGGAAACUCUGGUGGAGGCUCGCAGCGGUUCUGACGUGCAAAUCGAUCGUCAAAUCUGCGUAUGGGGGCGAAAGACUAAUCGAACCAUCUAGUAGCUGGUUACCGCCGA